rnacentral:rRNA from 1 species
UACGGAGGGUGCAAGCGUUAUCCGGAUUCACUGGGUUUAAAGGGUGCGUAGGAGGGCAGGUAAGUCAGUGGUGAAAUCCCCGAGCUUAACUUGGGAACUGCCGUUGAUACUAUCUGUCUUGAAUAUUGUGGAGGUGAGCGGAAUAUGUCAUGUAGCGGUGAAAUGCUUAGAUAUGACAUAGAACACCAAUUGCGAAGGCGGCUCGCUACACAUAUAUUGACUCUGAGGCACGAAAGCGUGGGGAUCAAACAGG